CGGCCAGAAGGAAGACUCACAGGGGAAAGGACUCUGCCGUAGCCUCGGUGCUGGACACCUGACCUGUGCUGUUCCCACCCGUGGCUCACAGCCGCCAAGGGUGCGUUUCAUGCCCCCUUAAGGAAGCAACUUCCGUCGGCCCGCCCGAGUUCCCCAGACCACAGAGCUGGUCUUGCUAUGUAGCUCAGGCUGCCCCUCAGGCUGGCAGCCUUUCUAUCUCAGCCUUCCUAGACCUCGGGUUCUAGGCGCACGGCACCCUGCCUCCCUCUUCCUUUCAACGUUUAUUUCUGACCAGGCUUCUCUCUGGAUUCGGAGCUCAUGGUUGGUUAAGGCUGGCCGGACAGUGCUCGCCAGGGGUCCGCCUGUCUGCCCCCCACUCCAGUGCUGGGAUCCAGUCCUUGGCAUGGGUUGCCAGCACCCUGCGGACCGAGUCAUCUCCCCAGCAGCAGCUAAGAUGUUUAAGGAGAAGACUGAGAAGAGACUCGGGAGCUCACCCGUAGCAGAACAACUCGAAACUUUCAGCCUUGGAAUGAAAAUGAUACGUCAUUCUCCUAGAACACUUCUGCUACUAUGGGAACUCCGCACGGCAGACUUCGCCAUGGAAUGACUGUGUGUAUGGGGAGGUAGAAGG